AAGAAAGUCCAAACAAGAAAGGGUUUUAAUGUACACUCAUAUCAUUGAAAAUGCUUCAUAGAGUAACAAUGUGUUUUGCUUUACUUACAGAACCAAUUAUUAGAUCUGUGGCAAAGAACUACAAGACAUAG
ensembl:snoRNA